UCCUGGUUUCCCAGGCAGUCUCGCCAGAGUGCUCCAAUAAAUGGGUGGCAACUGGCAACAGGAGUUGCGCUCGUUAAAGGACUUAACCUAACAUCUCACGACACGAGCUGACGACAGCCAUGCAGCACCUGUGCACGCGCUUAGGGUUUCCCCCAAGAGGUCGUGUUUCUACGAAUGUCAUGUGCAUGUCAAGCCCAGGUAAGGUUUCUCGCGUAGUAUCGAAUUAAACCACAUGUUCCACCGCUUGUGCGGAUCCCCGUCAAUUUCUUUGAGUUUUAAUCUUGCGACCGUACUCCCCAGGUGGACCACUUAUCGCGUUAGCUGCGACACCCAAGCAAAAUGCUCAGACGUCUAGUGGUCAUCGUUUACUGCAUGGACUAC
rnacentral:misc_RNA from 1 species